CAGCCUGCGAAAAGUAUCGGGGAGCUGGCAACAAGCUUUGAUCCGGUAAUGUCCGAAUGGGGAAACCCACCCGCUUGCGGGUAUCCUGCAGUGAAUACAUAGCUGCUGGAAGCGAACCUGGUGAACUGAAAUAUCUAAGUAACCAGAGGAAAAGAAAUCAACCGAGAUUCCGUAAGUAGCGACGAGCGAACGCGGACUAGCCCUUAAGCUGAUUUGGUUCUAGGAAAACGCUCUGGAAAGAGCGGCCAUAGAAGGUGAUAGCCCUGUAUCUGAAAGGGCCAUUUCAGUGAAGACGAGUAGGGCGGGGCACGUGAAACCCUGUCUGAACAUGGGGGGACCAUCCUCCAAGGCUAAAUACUACUGACCGACCGAUAGUGAACCAGUACCGUGAGGGAAAGGCGAAAAGAACCCCGGAGAGGGGAGUGAAAUAGAUCCUGAAACCGUGUGCGUACAAGCAGUAGGAGCUUCGCAAGGAGUGACUGCGUACCUUUUGUAUAAUGGGUCAGCGACUUACUGUUCGUGGCAAGCUUAA
rnacentral:rRNA from 1 species